rnacentral:tRNA from 4 species
UCUCCGUUCGUCUAACCGGCAGGACACCCGAUUUUGGAUCGGGAAAUCGAGGUUCGACCCCUCGACGGAGAACCA